rnacentral:lncRNA from 1 species
ACACAACCUCACCAAAAACUCCUACCGCCGGUACUACACAUCAGUACUCAUAAACAGUUUCACCAGAAACCCACCAUCUUCUGAGACUCAGAGGGAAGAAGACCUCCUUAGAACUUCAGCUACUGUCUGUACAGUCUCUUCCGGCACUUCGUCGGAUUUCACAGCGGCAUUCAAUCCAAGAUGGCUAUUCAUCCGAGAGAAAGAACAU